rnacentral:rRNA from 1 species
GUGUCAGCAGCCGCGGUAAUACGGAGGGGGCUAGCGUUGUUCGGAAUUACUGGGCGUAAAGCGUACGUAGGCGGCUUUGUAAGUUAGAGGUGAAAGCCCGGGGCUCAACCCCGGAAUUGCCUUUAAGACUGCAUCGCUUGAAUCGCGGAGAGGUGAGUGGAAUUCCGAGUGUAGAGGUGAAAUUCGUAGAUAUUCGGAAGAACACCAGUGGCGAAGGCGGCUCACUGGACGCGUAUUGACGCUGAGGUACGAAAGCGUGGGGAGCAAACAGGAUUAGAUACCCUGGUAGUCCACGCCGUAAACGAUGAUAACUAGCUGUCCGGGCACUUGGUGCCUGGGUGGCGCAGCUAACGCAUUAAGUUAUCCGCCUGGGGAGUACGGCCGCAAGGUUAAAACUCAAAGGAAUUGACGGG